rnacentral:rRNA from 1 species
GGAAUAUUGGGCAAUGCCCGAAAGGGUGACCCAGCAACGCCGCGUGGAGGAUGAAGGUCGUAAGAUUGUAAACUCCUGUUAGAGGGGAAGAAUAACUAAGUUUGGAGCUUAGUAUGACUGUACCCUCAGAGAAAGCCCCGGCUAACUACGUGCCAGCAGCCGCGGUAAUACGUAGGGGGCAAGCGUUGUCCGGAUUUCCUGGGUGUCAAGGGCGCGCAGGCGGAAUGGAAAGUCAGUGGUGAAAUCCUACAGCUUAACUGUAGAACUGCCUUUGNUACUUUCAUUCUUGAGUUCGGGAGAGAGAGACGGAAUUCCAGGUGUAGUGGUGAAAUACGUAGAUAUCUGGAAGAACACCAGUUGCGAAGGCGGUCUCUUGGUCCGAUACUGACGCUGAGGCGCGAAAGCGUGGGGAGCAAACA